UGGAGGGGAAGGUGGCGGUUCCCCUGAGGAGGGUGUUUGUCUUUAAAGCUGACGCUCCGUCCCCCUCCCCGCAGGGAAGGCUGAGGGCGCUGCCGGCGCUGAAGUCCUUGUUGGGGUCCCCGCCCCGGAGCCUCUCUCAGCGGAGGGGGUGGCCUUUUCCUCAUUUCCAGGUCCUUCUGACUGUGAGUGUGAGGGGAGCUGAUUGACAGGCUGUGGGGACGCCUUUGAAGGCACACUCUGUGACUCAACAUAUUGUCUCCUGAGGAAACAACCCAGACCCCAUCAGGACCAAAACACAAUGGCUGCUUCUCAGAAGUAUGGCACAUGAUUUGGAAACAUUGGCAUCACAAGUAAAAAGUGAGCUUGUGACACGUGUGGA